AACGUAGGAGGCAAGCGUUAUCCGGAUUUACUGGGCGUAAAGCGUGUGCAGGCGGUUGUCCAAGUCGUGUAUGAAAGCGCUCCGCUUAACGGGGCGAGGCUAGACGAGACUGGGCGACUAGAAUCAGACAGAGGCAAGCGGAAUUCCGGGUGUAGUGGUGAAAUGCGUAGAUAUCAAGUGGAACACCAGUGGCGAAGGCGAGUCCCUGGACAACACCUGACACUGAGGCACGAAAGCUAGGGGAGCAAACAGG
rnacentral:rRNA from 1 species